GUAGUUAGCCGGGGCUUCCUCCCAUGAUACCGUCACUUCCUUCGUCUCAUGGGACAGAGGUUUACAACCCGAAGGCCUUCUUCCCUCACGCGGCGUUGCUGGGUCAGGCUUUCGCCCAUUGCCCAAUAUUCCCCACUGCUGCCUCCCGUAGGAGUCUGGACCGUUUCUCAGUUCCAGUGUGGCCGAUCACCCUCUCAGGUCGGCUACCCAUCGAUGGCUUGGUGCGCCGUUACCGCUCCAACUACCUAAUGGGACGCGAGCUCACCUCGCACCGGGUUUCCCCUUUGACCUCUGUGUCAUGUGACACUGUGGUCUCAUGUGGUAUUAGCACCUGUUUCCAAGUGUUAUCCCACUGUGCAAGACAGAUUACUCACGCGUUACUCACCCGUCCGCCGCUAAAACACUACCGAAGCAGUUGUCUCCGCUCGACUUGCAUGUGUUAGGCACGCCGCCAGCGUUCGUCCUGAGCCAUGAUACAACUACUGA
rnacentral:rRNA from 1 species